CCUACGGGAGGCAGCAGUGGGGAAUAUUGGACAAUGGGGGGAACCCUGAUCCAGCGACGCCGCGUGAGUGAAGAAGUAUUUCGGUAUGUAAAGCUCUAUCAGCAGGGAAGAAAGAAAUGACGGUACCUGACUAAGAAGCCCCGGCUAACUACGUGCCAGCAGCCGCGGUAAUACGUAGGGGGCAAGCGUUAUCCGGAUUUACUGGGUGUAAAGGGAGCGUAGACGGCGAUGCAAGUCUGAAGUGAAAGGCGGGGGCCCAACCCCCGGACUGCUUUGGAAACUGUAUGGCUGGAGUGCAGGAGAGGUAAGUAGAAUUCCUAGUGUAGCGGUGAAAUGCGUAGAGAUUAGGAGGAACACCAGUGGCGAAGGCGGCUUACUGGACUGUAACUGACGUUGAGGCUCGAAAGCGUGGGGAGCAAACAGGAUUAGAUACCCCUGUAGUC
rnacentral:rRNA from 1 species